GUGGCACCAGCCAUCAGGAAAGGAGAUCUGCCCCACGGUUCCUGUGUCUCCCUAGCUGUUCUUCCCGUUUCCCUGUUCCCUGACAGUCUGUUACAAGUUAGUGUUCAUCGGCCACCUCAGGAAUAGCCUCCUGGAUCGUGUGGUCUCAGCCCCCGGUAACGUACGGACAUAUGUUUAGACAACAGCACGACCAAAGAGUCUGGCCAUGGGACACCCACUUGGCUGGGCUGUGCCUCCCGCCCCCGACUCGGAGAUGGUCCUGGCUAAACGAAAGCAGAAGGAGCAAUAAACCCAGCUAGGAGAUGCUGGACAA